ACAAGCUGGAGAAGGAGGUGGCCACGCUGCGGGAGAAGAUCCACCACCUGGACGACAUGCUGAAGAGCCAGCAGCGCAAAGUGCGCCAGAUGAUCGAGCAGCUGCAGAACUCCAAAACGGUGAUUCAGGCCAAAGACGCCGAGAUCCAGGAGCUCAAGGAGAGGGUGUCAUACUUGGAGGCUGAGAACCUGGAGAUGCACGAUCGCAUAGAGCAC